GAUGGCGCAUUUUCACUGGUCGGUAGGGGCCGCAUGCGGGGUGCGGGAGAUUUCUGAAAGGCAUGCCACGACCAAUAAAAAUGCGCCAUUAGUUGUCAUAGACUGUCCGUAUGCUGUAUACCGUACGAGUUAACGACUAAUGAAAAUGCGCCCUAAAGGUCUAGCCAAAAAUC